rnacentral:rRNA from 1 species
ACGUAGGGUGCGAGCGUUAAUCGGAAUUACUGGGCGUAAAGCGUGCGCAGGCGGUUCGUUGUGUCGGUGGUGAAAGCCCCGGGCUUAACCUGGGAAUGGCAUUUAGGACUGUGGAGCUCGAGUGCGGCAGAGGGAGGUGGAAUUCCACGUGUAGCAGUGAAAUGCGUAGAGAUGUGGAGGAACACCGAUGGCGAAGGCAGCCUCCUGGGCCGACACUGACGCUCAUGCACGAAAGCGUGGGGAGCAAACAGGA